GYCACGCCCGAAGUCGUUACCUCAACCGCAAGGAGGGGGAUGCCUAAGGCAGGGCUAGUGACUGGGGUGAAGUCGUAACAAGGUAGCCGUACCGGAAGGUGUGGCUGGAUCACCUCCUUAAAGGGAGACCUAAUUCAGGUAGGAGACGAAAAAAAAGUAGUCCCUACCAAGAAUCAAUCCCAAAAGGUCGGAGCGAGGCGAAAUUGGCUUUCAAACUAGGUUCUGGGUUCACACAAGACCUGAAUCAGGAACAAGGGCUAUUAGCUCAGGUGGUUAGAGCGCACCCCUGAUAAGGGUGAGGUCCCUGGUUCGAGUCCAGGAUGGCCCACCUGUACAGGUGGCAAAAACAAAGAAAAGAAGCUCCGAAUCAGCACCUUAUCUUAUUUAUAUAGUAAGAGAGAAUGCUGGCUCUGAGUAAAGAGUCCAGAGGAACCUUGAAAACUGCAUAGAGCUAGGUGAAAAAGCCAAAAAAGAAGACCGCAAGGUCAAGCUAAUAAGGGCUAACGGUGGAUACCUAGGCACACAGAGG
rnacentral:sRNA from 1 species